GAUGAACGCUGGCGGCGUUCCUAAUACAUGCAAGUCGAGCGAACAGACGAGGAGCUUGCUCCUCUGACGUUAGCGGCGGACGGGUGAGUAACACGUGGAUAACCUACCUAUAAGACUGGGAUAACUUCGGGAAACCGGAGCUAAUACCGGAUAAUAUAUUGAACCGCAUGGUUCAAUAGUGAAAGACGGUUUUGCUGUCACUUAUAGAUGGAUCCGCGCCGCAUUAGCUAGUUGGUAAGGUAACGGCUUACCAAGGCAACGAUGCGUAGCCGACCUGAGAGGGUGAUCGGCCACACUGGAACUGAGACACGGUCCAGACUCCUACGGGAGGCAGCAGUAGGGAAUCUUCCGCAAUGGGCGAAAGCUUGACGGAGCAACGCCGCGUGAGUGGUGAAGGUCUUCGGAUCGUAAAACUCUGUUAUUAGGGAAGAACAAAUGUGUAAGUAACUAUGCACGUCUUGACGGUACCUAAUCAGAAAGCCACGGCUAACUACGUG
rnacentral:rRNA from 1 species